GACCGAUAGCGCAUAGUACCGUGAGGGAAAGGUGAAAAGAACCCCGGGAGGGGAGUGAAAUAGAACCUGAAACCCUGCACUUACAAGCUGUGGGAGCACAUUACUUGUGUGACCGCGUACUUUUUGUAGAACGGGCCAACGAGUUACGUUAAGUAGCAAGGUUAAGCACUUAAGGUGUGGAGCCGUAGCGAAAGCGAGUCUUAAAUGGGCGAUUAAGUUACUUGGCGUAGACCCGAAACCGGGCGACCUAUCCAUGAGCAGGUUGAAGCGAAAGUAAAAUUUCGUGGAGGACCGAACCCACGAGCGUUGAAAAGCUCGGGGAUGACUUGUGGAUAGCGGUGAAAUUCCAAUCGAACCCGGAGAUAGCUGGUUCUCCCCGAAAUAGCUUUAGGGCUAGCCUCAAGCGUAGAGAAACGGAGGUAGAGCACUGAAUGUCCUAGGGGGUAUUGCACUUACCGAAGACUAUCAAACUCCGAAUGCCGUUUUCUUUUACUUGGGAGUCAGACUGUGGGUGAUAAGAUUCAUAGUCAAAAGGGCAACAGCCCAGAUCGUCAGCUAAGGUCCCUAAAUGUACGUUAAGUGGUAAAGGAUGUGGGAUUGCACAGACAACCAGGAUGUUGGCUUAGAAGCAGCCACUCAUUUAAAGAGUGCGUAAUAGCUCACUGGUCGAGUGAUCCUGCGCCGAAAAUUUCCGGGGCUAAAACGUACUACCGAAGCUACGGCAUCAUUUAUGAUGGGUAGGGGAGCUUCGUAUGCAGGCUGAAGCAUGACCGUAAGGACAUGUGGACAGUAUACGAGUGAGAAUGUUGGCAUGAGUAGCGAGACGUGGGUGAGAAUCCCACGGGCCGUAAACCCAAGGUUUCCAGGGGAAGGUUCGUCCGCCCUGGGUUAGUCGGGACCUAAGCCGAGGCCGAAAGGCGUAGGUGAUGGACAACAGGUUGAUAUUCCUGUACCGCCAAUAAGCGUUUGAGAGAUGGAGUGACACAGUAGGAUAAGCUAACCGUACUGUUGGUUAUGUACGGCUAAGCAUUGAGGCAGUCUAAAUAGGCAAAUCCGUUUAGACAAUGCUAGGAUGUGAUGGGGAAGCCCUUCGGGGCGAAGUAGCUGAUUUCACACUGUCAAGAAAAGCUUCUAUCGAGUUUAAAGGCGCCCGUACCGUAAACCGACACAGGUGGGUGAGGAGAGUAUCCUAAGGCCAGCGAGAGAACUAUUGUUAAGGAACUCGGCAAAAUGACCCCGUAACUUAGGGAGAAGGGGUGCCUGUCUAUGACAGGCCGCAGAGAAUAGGCCCAAGCGACUGUUUACCAAAAACACAGGUUUCUGCUAAGUCGCAAGACGAUGUAUAGGAGCUGACGCCUGCCCGGUGCUGGAAGGUUAAGGGGAUCUGUUAGAGCAAUCGAAGCAGUGAACUUAAGCCCCAGUAAACGGCGGCCGUAACUAUAACGGUCCUAAGGUAGCGAAAUUCCUUGUCGGGUAAGUUCCGACCCGCACGAAAGGCGUAACGAUUUGGGCACUGUCUCAACAAUAGACUCGGUGAAAUUGUAAUCCCGGUGAAGAUGCCGGGUACCUGCGACAGGACGGAAAGACCCCAUGGAGCUUUACUGUAGCUUGACGUUGGGUCUUGGUACUACAUGUACAGGAUAGGUGGGAGACUAUGAAGCAUGGACGCCAGUCUGUGUGGAGUCAUCCUUGGGAUACCACCCUUGUAGUACUGGGAUCCUAACCAUAGGCCUUGAAUCAGGUCUUGGAACACCGUCAGGUGGGCAGUUUGACUGGGGCGGUCGCCUCCUAAAAAGUAACGGAGGCGCUCAAAGGUUUCCUCAGCACGGUCGGAAAUCGUGCGAAGAGUGUAAAGGCAAAAGGAAGCUUGAUUGCAAGACAUACAGGUCGAGCAAGGACGAAAGUCGGACUUAGUGAUCCGGUGGUACCGCAUGGAAGGGCCAUCGCUCAACGGAUAAAAGCUACCCUGGGGAUAACAGGCUUAUCUCCCCCAAGAGUCCACAUCGACGGGGAGGUUUGGCACCUCGAUGUCGGCUCAUCACAUCCUGGGGCUGUAGUAGGUCCCAAGGGUUGGGCUGUUCGCCCAUUAAAGUGGUACGCGAGCUGGGUUCAGAACGUCGUGAGACAGUUCGGUCCCUAU
rnacentral:rRNA from 1 species